rnacentral:rRNA from 1 species
UGGGGAAUAUUGGACAAUGGGCGAAAGCCUGAUCCAGCCAUGCCGCGUGGAUGAAGAAGGCCCUAGGGUUGUAAAGUCCUUUCGGUGGUGAAGAUAAUGACGGUAACCACAUAAGAAGCCCCGGCUAAUUUCGUGCCAGCAGCCGCGGUAAUACGAAAGGGGCUAGCGUUGUUCGGAAUUACUGGGCGUAAAGCGCGUGUAGGCGGGUCGUUAAGUUGGGGGUGAAAUCCCGAGGCUCAACCUGGGAACUGCAUUCAAAACUGACUGACUAGAGUAUGGUAGAGGGUGGUGGAAUUUCCUGUGUAGCGGUGAAAUGCGUAGAUAUAGGAAGGAACACCAGUGGCGAAGGCGACCACCUGGACUGAUACUGACACUGAGGUGCGAAAGCGUGGGGAGCAAACAGGAUUAGAUACCCACGUAGUCCCUGAGCGGGCUGGCAAGGCGCAU